UACGGAGGGUGCAAGCGUUAUCCGGAUUCACUGGGUUUAAAGGGUGCGUAGGCGGGCAGGUAAGUCCGUGGUGAAAUCUCUGAGCUUAACUCAGAAACUGCCAUGGAUACUAUUUGUCUUGAAUAUUGUGGAGGUAAGCGGAAUAUGUCAUGUAGCGGUGAAAUGCUUAGAUAUGACAUAGAACACCAAUUGCGAAGGCAGCUUACUACACAGUUAUUGACGCUGAGGCACAAAAGCGUGGGGAUCAAACAGG
rnacentral:rRNA from 1 species